UCUUUAGUCAUGUCCGACUCUUUGCGACCCUAUGGACUGUGAUCCCCCAGGCUCCUCGGUCCAUGGGAUUCUUCAGGCAGGAAUAUUGGAGUGUGUUGUGAUGCCCUCCUCCAAAGGAUCUUCCCGACCCAGGGAUCGAACAUGCAUCUCUUGUACCUCCUGCAUUGGGAGGCGGGUUCUUUACCAAUGACACCACCUGGGAAGUCCAUCCUGCUUAUGAGGUUUCAGAUGAUGGUGAUGAUGAUGAUGAUGAUUUUGGUCCUAGUUCCAUUAAAGGUAAAUUUUCUUCAUCUUGUACUGAUAGUGCUUCAUAUUUAUGAAAUAAUUUUUAAUUUAUACCUCAGCUUU
rnacentral:lncRNA from 1 species